GACGAACCGUGCGAACGUUAUUCGGAAUCACUGGGCUUAAAGCGCGUGUAGGCGGGAGGGCACGUCCGUCGCUGAAAUCCCCCGGCUCAACCGGGGAACGGGCGACGGAUACGACCUUCCUGGAGGGGCGUAGGGGGACCUGGAACUUCCGGUGGAGCGGUGAAAUGCGUUGAGAUCGGAAGGAACGCCCGUGGCGAAAACGAGGUCCUGGACGCCUAC
rnacentral:rRNA from 1 species